GAUGAACGCUGGCGGCGUGCCUAAUACAUGCAAGUCGAGCGAACAGACGAGGAGCUUGCUCCUCUGACGUUAGCGGCGGACGGGGGAGUAACACGUGGAUAACCUACCUAUAAGACUGGGAUAACUUCGGGAAACCGGAGCUAAUACCGGAUAAUAUAUUGAACCGCAUGGUUCAAUAGUGAAAGACGGUUUUGCUGUCACUUAUAGAUGGAUCCGCGCCGCAUUAGCUAGUUGGUAAGGUAACGGCUUACCAAGGCAACGAUGCGUAGCCGACCUGAGAGGGUGAUCGGCCACACUGGAACUGAGACACGGUCCAGACUCCUACGGGAGGCAGCAGUAGGGAAUCUUCCGCAAUGGGCGAAAGCCUGACGGAGCAACGCCGCGUGAGUGAUGAAGGUCUUCGGAUCGUAAAACUCUGUUAUUAGGGAAGAACAAAUGUGUAAGUAACUAUGCACGUCUUGGCGGUACCUAAUCAGAAAGCCACGGCUAACUACGUG
rnacentral:rRNA from 1 species